UUAUUUUGUAGUGAUUCUCAUCUGAAUUCUAUCCUUUGAUAGCAACACAACUAAGGAUAAAGCAUUAUCCUCUCAUUUGUAAAAUAAGAAUAAUAAACGUGGCUCAUAAGUGAGGACCAGAAAUCAGAAUUAAAUUAGAUAACAUAAAUAUUCUUCUAGCUCCUUACAUGUACCUUUGUAAGUACUGUCAGUUAACCAACUAGCUAUUUUAAUGUUAUAUGUAUUUGGUUGUACUGGCAUAUGUAGACUAGUGAUGUUAAUGAAUAUUUCAUAUUAUUAACUCAGAAUUACAGUUAUUCACAUCCUUUUUAAACUGUAAUUAUCCCUCUAAAGAUACAGCGCUCAUCUGUGCUCAUCACAUUUCGGUGGUGAUAAAGGAAAACCAAGAGAGACCUGGUGGAGAAGGCAUUGAAUGACUGAUAAAUUUCCUAUAGCCCCUGAAGAUGAAUAAUACAUAAACAAGACCUUCAAAGAUCUCUUCUUCCAAUUCCAAUUCAAAAUUCAGUAUAUUAAAUCAUCUUAGAGAAAACAGUUGGUGUGGUGCGUGCACUCAGUAUGUGAUGUGAGCGUGAAGUGUCACAUGCCUGGAGCUGUUUACAAGGCAGUACCGGAAGGGAUCUGCCUCUACACAGUCAUGCCUCAGUACCAGCAGGGGACUGGGGAUUGCUUCCAGGACCCCAUGGACACCAAAACCAGCAGAUG
rnacentral:lncRNA from 1 species